GUCAGAGGUCAGUGUGGGGGAGGGGAUUUUUGGGGGUUUGGGAUGAAGAUGAUGAAGAGAAAGACGGAGAUGAAGAUCAGGAUGAAGAGGAAAAUGAUGAAGAUGAGGAUGAAGGUGAUGAAGGCUCACCAGUAGAAGACACAGAUAAACACAAAGAUGAAGAUGAGGAUGAAGAUGAGGAUGAAGAUGAAGAUGAAGAUGAAGAUGAAGAUGAAGAUGAGGAUGAAGAUGAAGAUGAAGAUGAGGAUGAAGAUGAGGAUGAAGAGGAGGAUGAAGAUGAGGAUGAAGGUGACGAAGGCUCACCAGUAGAAGACGCAGACACAGACAAAGAUGAAGAUGAGGAUGAAGAUGAGGAUGAAGAUGAGGACGAAGGUGAUGAAGGCUCACCAGUAGAAGAUGCAGAUAAAGACAAAGACAAAGAUAAAGAUGAAGAUGAGGAUGAAGAUGAGGAUGAAGAUGAGGAUGAAGGUGACGAAGGCUCACCAGUAGAAGACGCAGGCCAGCUCCAUCCAGCUGAGGGCGCUCCGGUCCUGCCGCAGCCACCGCAGCCCCUCCUGGGCGAAG
rnacentral:lncRNA from 1 species